AACGAACGCUGGCGGCAUGCCUAACACAUGCAAGUCGAACGAAACCUUCGGGUCUUUUGGCGCACGGGUGCGUAACGCGUGGGAACCUGCCCUUAGGUUCGGAAUAACUCCCCGAAAGGGGUGCUAAUACCGGAUAAUGUCUUAGGACCAAAGAUUUAUCGCCCUUGGAUGGGCCCGCGUUGGAUUCGCUAGUUGUUAGGGUAAAAGCCUACUAAGGCGCCGAUUCAUAAGUUGUCUGAGAGGAUGAUCAGCCACACUUGGACUGAGACGCGGCCCAGACUCCUCCGGGAGGCAGCAGUGGGGAAUAUUGGACAAUGGGCGAAAGCCUGAUCCACCAAUGCCGCGUGAGUGAUGAAGGCCUUAGGGUUGUAAAGCUCUUUUACCCGGGAUGAUAAUGACAGUACCGGGAGAAUAAGCUCCGGCUAACUCCGUG
rnacentral:rRNA from 1 species